UGAGCUUCCGUUUGAUGCUAACAAAUAAUGACACGGCAAUUUGCAGAUUUCACAGCACGCCUUUCAGAGCGCGGGGGGCAUGCACAAGCCUGUUGGGCGUAGCCACUUCGCCCAGCUUUUAGCCCCAGUUCCACAUCCAGCUGAUAUCAGUGACAAGUCCGAGGUGGUUGAUGCUUUGUCUGCAUGGCCGGUAGUGAUGCCGACUUCAGGAUUUACAAAAAAGCUAUAGGUAUUUCUCAAAUAUCUUAAAAUAUGCCAGCUACUUUUUAGCUUCCUUUAAGAUUAGUUUCUGUAUGAUACAUCUAUCAUAUACCUAACAAAACAGUGUGUACUCUUCUCAUAUUGCUUUGAUACAUCAUUUUUUUCUAUAUAUCUCUUUCUUUGGCUACAAAAUGUUCAUUUUCUCAUCACUCGUGCAAGGACCGCCUGCCAGUGUCAGUUGGCUAAGAGUCCUGCUGAGAGGAGCAAAAUCAAUUCGUCGACAACGUUUUGGGCUUAAAAAGCUUGACAGCCGCAUCUCGUUCCUGGCAGCUGGUGGUCCAAAGUCCGAGUUCGAGGUCCGGACUCAAGUUUACACUCACUUACCGACGAGUGGGGCGGCGUACGACCUCCUGCCAGCUUUCCUGUCAAAUUUUGUCACUGGGCGGGGCAGAGUUUGUUGAGGACUUUCUUCAGCCGACUGCAUGAUUGAUGGCUCAAGUUCCCAGAUUGGAAUUGAUUUCCAUUCAAAUUUAAAACAUAUUUGGUGUUUAAUGUCUAAGUAGGGGGAUAGUACACGCACAUAUUCCCUUUAAAAUAAGUUGAUUGUAUAGCUGUACUUUAUUUUUGGACGGAUUGCAGAAUACAUCAUAGGUUAUGAAUAACUUUUAAA